rnacentral:tRNA from 1 species
GACUCGUUAGCUCAGUUGGUAGAGCAUUUGACUUUUAAUCAAAGGGUCACUGGUUCGAGCCCAGUACGGGUCAUAA